rnacentral:lncRNA from 1 species
UGUUGUGCAAGGAAGUGAUAAUUUUACUGACGGAUUUCCUUUUUCCUUAUACAGGUUCUGAAGUAGCUGGAUGCUGUAUACUGUUAAACUAUUGCAUACCUUUAGAGUGAAAGAUAUACGUAGAAGUUACAAUUAAAGGUAAAUUUGUUUUUAAGAAAUUGAGAUAUGUGGUAUGAUUUUCAAAAUAGAACUUAUUUUAAGUUGAUCACUUAUAAACGCAGACGCUGAUUAUGCAUAAUCUGUUGAUCCAUCUGAUCAUGUCUGAAAAACCAAAACUGAAAUAUUUUUAAUUUGUGGAAAACAAAAUCAAAAUAAUAACUUGAGAAGUUAGGUGAAAUGUGAGCAUUUCCUGCCAUGAAAACAAAUAAUCAUAUGAUAUAAUAUAUGACAAGAAUUUAAUUGAUUGUUUGAUGCACAUAUUGUACUUCAGAUAUUAAAUGCAUGUUUUUUAUUUGAAUAAGAUUAUAUGGUUUUCAUUCUGUUUUAAUACAUUGAACAAGAUUGAAGAAUAUUUAAAAGACAGAUGAAAUUAGAAGAUUAAAGAACAAAGAAAAUAUUUUUUUCAGUCUGGACUUUUACAGAGUUAUCUCCCUUUUUGAACACAGUAGCAAGGUUUGGAAUAAUGAAGAAUAACUAUAGAUUUCUUCUAUACAUAUCCAAGAUUAUUUUAAAAGAAUAGUUCCUUCUGAUGUAAAUAUAAAAUUUUGGGGCACGUAAUUCCAGAAAUUCACCUUUUUGACCCGAAAUUGUAAUUUUCUAACCCAAACAGCAAAAGUUUGAAAAUUUUCACAAUGUUGAACAAAUACCUUACAUUAAACGAUGUCCAUUCAAAGUGUUUUGUACAUAAAACAGCAUUGUAUGCCGAAGAGUAUACAAGUCUGGCUUAUAUUCUUCCAAUUUCUUUUAAAAAAUAUUGUUCCCUCAUUUCAAAUUGGAGUAAAAUCUGAUUUUGACACUGUUUUCAACAAAUGAAAGCGCCAUGUUUACACUUUCAUCUGGGUAAUCAAUAAAGAAAAAUAACUUGUGUUUGCAAUGUUUUUUUUAGAGUUAACAUAAAAGAGGCAUUCCAAUCACGAUAAAUUGGGACUCUUCGUCAGCUUUCUGAAGCGUUGGUGAAAGGGUUAAAAAACCAAAGCUUCAGUAAAAUGUUUUAACAUAAGCAAUUUCGUACUUUCCUGUGGACUUCUAAAACUAGAAUAGAGGUGAAUUCUAUCUAUUGAAAUGAUAUGCAACUUCAGAAGAGAUCAUUAUGUUGAAGUCUGAUUUUGAAAAAGUUCUGUUUCUGAAUAAAGAUACUCGUGGAAGUAUUAGUGCUAAUGUAUAAAAGUGAAAGAAUUUCUUAUCAGUCAAAUUAUGAGAAAGAAAUCCUUUCAUGCAGUUACAAAUUUGUUGUGACAUAAUAUGUCAGAUUAAAGCAUGAUAUUUUGAAAAGAGUUGAUAUCAAGAAAUUAUUAAUUCAUUUAAAAUGAAGGAUCAAAUUUUCCCACAGCCUCUAAUUUCACAAGUUUAAAUAUUUUCAUUGACAAUUUCUAAUUGCCAGUGUUGAUAUGUUGAACAUGUUAUUUUUAUUCCUACCAAAUGUUGUUGGUUUUCUCCACACUAUGGUUUCCUCAGCCAGUAAAAACUAACUACCUUGAUAUGGCCAAUAGUACAAAAAAUUGCAUUAAACUCCAACUAUUUAUCUAUCUAGUAUAUAUAUAUUGAAGAAUUUGAGUAAAAGAUUUUAUAGUACGCUCAAAAUUUUCUUUUGAAGAAUGAGAUUAAGUGUCCAAAUGAAUUUGCAUUCUCUAAAUAGUAAAUUCGUUUUUCUAAAAUUUUAUAUUAAAUAUCACCAACAAUUUUGUAAAACUUAAAGUGAUGUAUCAGAAGAUCUUUAUAAGACCUAAAGUAAAGGUUGUUUACCUUUCUCAGACUGACAAAGUUAUAAUAUCACCUGAAAUAAAAACAAAAUGAGUUUGUCUGUCUUUAUAUGUGAUUAGUUAUUGUGAUCAAGGGCAAACAUGGUUGUCCUGGAUAAAUGAUAAGUAUAGUUGUUUUCUGGUGAGUGAGGUCAUUUAGUAUAGUCUGUGCCUGUAGCUAGUGGUACCAACAAAAAGUCAGAUGUGUUCUCAUUAUACGACUGCAAAGACCUUGAACAAAUCAGUAGCACUACCACAAUUCUAGAGUUUUGAAAAUAAUGUCAAAUAUAUAAAGAUUUCAGAACAAAAGAAUAUGUUUAGCUUGCUUUAUAUUUCUUUGUUUCAUUGAUGACAAACUUGACAAAGGGCUAAAGUAGUUGAAGAAAAGUCUGGGAUUUAGAAAACUGUAAUAAUUUUCAAAUAUUAAUAUUUGUCUAUGAUUUUAAGUAUUUUUUUUUUUUUUUGAAUAUGUAAAGUAUAAAGGACAAGGGUCACUUUUUGUUAUAUUUGCCCAGGAAGACAACACAUGCAUUCUUGUUUGAUUUUUCUAUUCUCAGUAUGAAGUUUGUGUCGUAGGGGAUCUAUACUUGUUGACAUUUUGUCUAUUGGUUUUUGGGGAAUAAAUAGUCUGUUUUGAAAUGAUGCCACAUUUCUUAGUUUUUAGUUUCAAGUGUAAAUUUACUACCAAAAAAAGAAAGUGAGAGCAUGCUUUAAUAUCAUUAAUUCAGGAGGAAGUAUAAUAUCAAUAAAAGAGUAAGUGCAAUAAGGUUAGAACAAGAAACAGAAAGAGGUUGAUCAUUUCUUAUUGGUGCUUUUAGAAUUUACUGUCUAGAAGCAAUUAAGGAUGUUUGCUUCUCUGGAUUUCUACUUUUUGUCAGAUAUUCUGAGACCUCUAGUUUUACCUGUACUUUUUUUACUAAAAUUUUAUAACAUAUAGUUCAAAAAUCUUAUAAACAAAAUUUCUUAGCUUUUGAAAGAAACGUGCAGAUGUUAAAUGUAUGAUCAAUUGUUUAUGUCUCAAAAACAAGGACAAAGACCUUUCAUUUUUUCUCCUUUUUUUUUUGAAGUUCUGUUAUUUAUAUACUAUUAAUUUAUUGCAGUCUUUUAAGUAGCUUAUUUUUUUUAGACAGAGGAGUAAACAUCAUUAAAACUCAUUGCUAAGUUUUUAAUUAGAAUUGUUGCCUGUUGCACUUUAAAUUAAUGUCGUAGGUAAUAAAAGGUGCUCUGUAAAGAAAUGUUAAUGUUUAUUUCACAAACAGAUCUGAUUUCAAGUUAAAAUAUAACUCUAUUAUUCUAAGUCAAUUUAAUCAAAUAACUUUUACAUAUAGAUUAACCUUUAGAACAGUGAAAAAUUGUUAUUUUUUUUCUUAAUGAUUCAUUUUCUUUAAAAUACCAAAUAAGGUUGAAAGGAGUGUUAUCAUUAUAAAUAAACUCUUGUUUAUUUUAACUCUGAUAAGUAUUUUUUUUCUAAAAUCAUAUGAUAAUGACUUUCAAUUUAAAAGACAGAAACUUUAUUCUUAAGUUGGGUGUUAAUUUUAUGUUACUCAUGGUUUCAUCUCCCAAGUUGGUAAGACAUAUAUUUCAUGUUUUAAAACAAUUUUUUAUGUUGGUCUUCCAAAAUUGCAUGUUUUGUGUGAUAUUCACUUUUGCUGAACUAGAAUACAUUGUUUAAGGGGCCAGCUGAAGAUAGAUUUGUGGCUUUUGCCUGCUUUCUGUUCUUCUGUGUGUUGUUGUCUCUUUGACACAUCCCCCUUUGCAUUCUCACUUUUAAUUCCAUUUUUUUUUUAAAAUCUUUUGUUAAUUAUAAGCAAGUAUAACCUUGUCCAAAUAUCUGUUCUUUUUGUCAGAAUUUGUAGCCCAUUUUAUGUCAAGGGACAGUUGACUUUGCUCUCAUAUAUGCUUUACAUGGCUUUAACUGAAUUGGUUUUGAAAUGAAAGGAAAUUUCUAUAGAUAAUAUUCACAGUUGAUAAAACAAAUGUUAUUGAAACUAAAUGUUCAUCCCUCAUGUAUUGACUUGUUUUCUACAAAAUUGCUUUGUUGUCAUUUUGAUGAGGUACAAUAAUCCUGUGGUCACUACAUUAAUUUUUGCCCAGCCUGCAUCUAAAUUUGAGGUGUUUAAUUUUUUUUCAAAAGUGACAUCUUUGUUAACAAUCUGUAAAUGAAAUAUAUUUUCCCUGAUUUUAACAUAAGAUGACUAAGAUUUGUAUGGUUAAAGGUCAUGGUCAAGGUCGUUGCCCCAGUGUUCAAGUUCUGUUUUUGGAUUGCCUUUUCUUAGUAACUAUACAUUAGAGGUUAACAAUGUUAUAGAUAUAGAUUUGUUCCGAUGAGUUUUAAGUUCAUCUGACAUUGUUAUAUAUCCUUGACUCCUUUUCCCUCUUCCGUAUUCCUUAUAAUAUCUUCGUUAAAUCUGAAUAACUUUAACUCUACUUUCUGCUAUAUAGAUGACGUUCUUUCACUAAACAAUUCAAAAUUUGGUGACUAUGUGGAACGCAUCUAUCCCAUCGAAUUGGAGAUAGAAGGAUACUACAGAUACAGUUAAGUCGGCUUCAUAUCUUGACUUACAUCUAGAAAUUGACAAUGAGGGUCGGUUGAAAACAAAACUUUACGACAAAAGAGAUGAUUUCAGCUUCCCAAUUGUGAACUUUCCAUUUCUAAGUAGCAACAUUCCAACAGCACCUGCAUACGGGGUAUAUAUCUCCCAAUUGAUACGAUAUUCCCGUGCUUGCAUUUCCUAUCAUGAUUUUCUUGAUAGAGGGUUACUGCUCACAAGGAAGCUAUUAAACCAAGAGUUCCAAAUGGUGAAGUUGAAAUCAUCCCUUUGUAAAUUUUACGGACGCCAUCACGAGUUGGUUGACCGUUAUGGAAUAACCGUUUCACAAAUGAUAUCGGAUAUGUUUCUUACGUCGUAACUACAAUCCCCUUCCCUUUCAUGAAUGUGACCUACCGAAUUAGACUAUUUACCGGAUUUGUAAUCACAUAAGCAACACGACGGGUGCCACAUGUGGAGCAGGAUCUGCUUACCCUUCCGGAGCACCUGAGAUCACCCCUAGUUUUUGGUGGGGUUCGUGUUGUUUAUUCUUUAGUUUUCUAUGUUGUGUCAUGUGUACUAUUGUUUUUCUGUUUGUCUUUUUCAUUUUUAGCCAUGGCGUUGUCAGUUUGUUUUAGAUUUAUGAGUUUGACUGUCCCUUUGGUAUCUUUCGUCCCUCUUUUAUAAUUGUGUAUAACUGUAUAUAGAUUUUUUUGCAUUGGUUUAAGAGUUACUUAGAAUGACUUCAUGUUUAAGUUUGAACAUUUCCUGUUGUUAUAAAUUUAGACUCAAGUAUUUGUACAUGUAGUUUGAUUUAAGACGUAUAUAAGUAAAGAUUACGUCAGGGCUAUUAUUCUGUUUGAAGUAUUUUUUACAUUAUGAUAAAUUAUUAUCUUGACAUUGGAAACUGAAAGAGUUGAUGAUUUUCUGUUCUUUAUUUGUCAGGUUUUGUUAAUUAAACAGUAAAAGGGGCUUGUGAUAGAUCCACAUUUACUUCAACAAUUACACAACAAAGAAGACAUGUGAUAGAUCGUAAUUUUCUUCAACAAUUACACAACAAAGAUUCAAACACAUCAUAUUACUAAGAGUCCUCACGUAUAGGCUAUUUUCUAGUGGCAGUCAUGAUUGCUAAUGAGACAACUAUCAAUUAUGAACAGAAAACGAAGCUGUGAACAAUUACAGGUCACACGUAAAACCUUUAACAAUGAGAAAUACCUAUACCGUAAAAAGUUGCACUUCUGUAAAUAUAGACAUGGCAAUUUGCCAAAGUAACUCCUCUUACAGCUAAAACUGCAACUUUUAUUAUCAAGUUUCAAAAAAAAAUUAUAUUCCAGAUGGAAAGUUCCUUUAUACUACUCUUUUUUCAAAGGUCAAAAUAAAUUAGGGCUGUGCGGCAUAUUUUCAACAUUUACAUGCCCUGAACUUCCAAGAGAUUAAAGAAAUUCUGUACUACCCCUCCCUUGACUUUGGGUCUUCUUCAGAACUCAAUUUAGCCACUAUCUAUGUGUAUUUAUACUGGUACCUUUCCCCUGUUAUGUCCUUAUGAGUUGAAACAGACAUCAUAUCUGGGAACCAGUGUGUAAACAAAAGAAAAUAUCUUUGAAUAUUAUAUAUCUCCCCAAAAAAAGUGUGGUUUGUAAAACAAUUGAAAAGAGAAAACCAAUAGCCUGAUAUAUACUGCAACAAAAGACAAAUAACAAAAAUGACAACAACCUACAACAUUAAUUGGAUUUCAGGCUUGCGACAGGCACUUAAAGAAUGUGGUAGGAUUAGAUGUGGUACGAAUGCCCAACUAGUGAAUAUAAGUCUCCUUCCUUCUCACCAUCCCCCUUAACCUGGGACAGGGGUAUGACAACACUAUAUAUUGAUAAUAAUUUACUACUGUAAGAUUUAUAACUUAUAUUGGAAGAAAACAGAUUUUUGGCACUAAAGUAAAAAAGAAUUUUAAGAUUAUUUCUCUUUAGAUUUACCAUAUUUUGCCAUUGUUCCUAUGAAAUCUAUUGUAAAAGCAAAAUAGUUGCAUAUUUUAUUGUCAGCUAUUUUUUUCCAUUAAUGUUUUAAUUUAAUUUGUUCAUAAAUUCUGCAUUUGUACAUUUUGUUGACAUAGUAUUUAUUUUUUCUUAGAACAAAUUAUGGUAUUGACCAGUGGCUAAAGAAUUGUUAAAAAUACUCAGUUUCUGCAUGAAGGGUAUUGAAAUUCCAAUAAGAAUCAAUUGAUGGAUAAAACCAUUCUGUAUUAAAAAAAUUCAGUUGGCAGGUGUUUAUAGAAAUUUCAUACAUGUAUUCAAAACAUCAAAAUUAUAUGCAUAUGUGUGAUUACCAUUGUUAAAAAAAAAUACUCUUGACUCCAGACAACACUUUAAAUUUUCUUUGACUCAUUUAAAACUGAAAAAGAACUUUUGUACAUUGAGGCAGGAUUCCAUACAUUAGUCCUAUAUUUUCCUUGGUUUCUGAAACAUUAAAAUUUUUUGUAACUUUGUUUAGGCCUAAAAAAAAAAUGUGUGUUUCCGGUAACAUCAUUUUAAAAAAUAGGGUCGGUAGGUCAGUAUUCUUUUUUUUUUUUUACAUUUUUUAUUUUGACAUUGUAGCGAAAUCUGGAAAUUUAUCAUAAUUUUUCCAAGUCCGGGUCCAUAAUUAGUUUCAAAUACCGAAGGUGCAGCCAUUUGCAAUGUUUUUGAAGCACCUGCUGUGCAAAUUUCUUGAAUUUAACCUAUUUGGAAUACCUUUUGACAUUAAUAAAAUGUUUUACUGGCUUUCUGUGCCAGUAGAAGCAAGUUAGAUAAAUUAUUAUGUCGAAUAACAGAAGCCUGUGUCAAAAACAGGGACUGUUGAUACCAUUUUUUUUUUGGAGAUCCAAUAAAAAAAUUAGGGUCAGGCUAAAAAACAGGGUCGGUCGGGUUACCGGAAACUCAGAUUUUUUUCUUUCUCUGCCUUAUAACAUUUACGAUUUUCAUUUUAAUCUUGAUGGUAAAUACUUUUAGUUUUAAUUAAUAUUAAUUUGAAUGCAGAAAUCACAACAAAGUUAUUUUAGACAAAUAUGACAUUUAAAGUUUGACAGCGAAAUCACUAUUUUAAUUCAAAUUUGUUUUGAAUCCAAUUUACAAACAAUUAGAAAUGAAUUAUAGAUAAAGUAAUAUUCCAUUUAUAAAUCUUUUGAAAUACAUUUAAAUAGGGUACAAAUGUAUAUUCAAAACAUAAAAUCACAAGUGCAGUAAAUUGAUGCAUUGAAUUUCUUUACAUUACAAGUUUUCCCAUAUGCACAAUGCAGUUAAAAAGAUCCUUUAUGGCAAAUUUAUUUGAAGUUAUAUUAAAAUUCAAUAAAGAUUAAAAAAGUAAAUAUACUAUAACUGAAUAUAAAUAUUCUAUUAUAAAUGCACACUUCAAAAUCAGUACUGCAUAUAUUCUAUGCUUGAUGCACAUGUAUUGAUUUCAAAAAUAAGUUUUUUUAUACCUCAUAUGUAGUGAAUGUCCAAUCAGAAUGUAAAUUCUAUUUUUAGCUGGUUGACGUGUUGUCUGGAGAUUGUGUGUUUGCUUUGCCAUGCUUUCACUUGUAGCUGUCUUGCUUUUAAAGUAGCUGGUUGCUGUUUGAAUUUUAUGAAAAACUGUGACUUGAUAGUGUGUGAUAAUUACUGUACAUUUUUGUGGACCUUUUUAUACAGUCAUGGAUAGGUAAGCCUAUAGUUGUUAUUGAUAGAUCAACUUGACCUAGAUUUACGAGCAGACGACUACUGACUGUGUAAUGUUUUGACCAGCAGAUAAAAAGGGCAUUUCAGGUCAUUCUAUUUAAUACCUUUAUUUAUAGACUGACCAUACUGAAGUGAACAAAAAUAGCCAUGGUCAGUAGUUUCACUUUGGUCACACUAUAUCUUUUUAACAAAGAAUUUUCC